UGGGUCAGGCUCACUCAAGGAUUUCACAAACGCCUGGCGCAUUCCCAGCACAGCACAGCUGAGAGGGCUCAGCGCUGAGGAGUGUCCUCCUCCACAGACCCUGCUGUCCGCUCAGGGCCUCUGGGUCUGGAGCCUGGGGACCGAAAAGGGCUGUGCCUGUCCCGGCUUGCCACAGCUGUGGUGAGCUCCGGGCCUUCCCUCCCCACUUCGCUUUCCAGCCUGGGCUUAGUCAAGGUGCUAGGAGGAAAUUCCCUUUCCAGGAAGAGCGGAAACACGGGCUUGUCUUCCCCAAAGUGAGCCAGCAGGCACCAGAAAUGACGAAUUCAAGUUGUGCUGGGCUCCGCUCACACAGAAGCACAGCUGUGUCUCACGGGGGUGCCAGAGAGUCAGCCUCUUUAGUGCCCAGAUGCAGGACUCGCGGUGAAUAGAAGGGCGUUUUCCAGAAGGAGCCUGGCUGGUGGUCCAUGGCCCAUGUAGGACGUUAAGAAUGCAAGGUGAGCGUAUGGGGAAGCAUGGCCAGGAAGCUAUUAACACCUGUCGGGGGGGGGGGCCCACCUGCUCUCCAACCUUGUGUGGGAAUCACCUUCCCCCUACACACUGCAACGUCUGUGACGCUGUGCUGGGGUCACGAGUCAUCAUCAGGACCCCCCAUCUAGGCUUUCUCGGAACACCUCCCUGCCAAGCAGCCCCAGCCAAAGUGAGCGCUAAUAGCUUGGAGCCUCUAACAGCUUCUGACCACAGUGCAGCCUGCUCCCUGCAAGCCCUUUGAAGCCAGUACUUCCUUCGCAAACUUGCUUUGCAUAUUCUGGUCAGAGCUGAAUCAGACUGGCAGGAAUUAACCAUCAGUAACAGUCUAGGUGGCGGCCAUAGCUCGCCGCCGGUGACACAGGAGGGCUGCCGGUGACGCGAGAGCAGUCUGAUUCUACCUCAGCGCCGUGGGCAGGGACCCAAGAGGCACAGCCAGCGCCCUCCCCUCAUUCCGUUGCGAGAGGAAGAGAAAUCAGGGAAAAGAGAGCUCGAGUCAACCUUUUUGUUUUCAUUAAAAAAUAGUGCUCUUUAUUAUAAAUUA